GAGGUCUCCUCUCCCUGGCUGAUGUUAGCGAUGUGUCAGCAUUAAGCUAGGCCUGCCUGCUAGGCUGCUGGGGCUGUGGUGGCGACCAGCCCAGCCUGGCCAAAAGCCAGACCAGACAUGUAUUGGCACCAGACAACAGAGACGUGACAGGAUCAAGCAUUGGAGGAAAAAUAUGCUCAUACAUGCACGUGAAUGUAGAGAGAAACAAUGGGAACAAGGACUGAAAGAAGACAUUCGACAAAGAUCCCAGGUGGGACUCCGAAUGAUGAAUGUGAAAAGAAACCAGCCCACAUAAGGGGUCUUAACUGAAGUGUUCGGGUGCCCGGGUUGUCAAGAAAUGCUCUUUGUAAAGGUCACAUAUUACUGCUGUGUUGUGAUGAGGCCAAUAAAACAGCCAAUAACUGACCCUGUGAGACAAGGCACUAAUUGGAAUGUUUGUCAAGGGUUUUAUCCUCAGGAUUGAAUAUAUGCCAUUUAAAGAAU